rnacentral:rRNA from 1 species
AUUGAACGCUGGCGGCAGGCCUAACACAUGCAAGUCGAACGAGUGGCGGACGGGUGAGUAAUGUCUGGGAAACUGCCCGAUGGAGGGGGAUAACUACUGGAAACGGUAGCUAAUACCGCAUACCAUCGGAUGUGCCCAGCGGGGAUUAGCUAGUAGGUGGGGUAACGGCUCACCUAGGCGGCGAUCCCUAGCUGGUCUGAGAGGAUGACCAGGCAGGCGGGAAUGAAGACACGGUCCAGACGCCGACGGGAGGCAGCAGUGGGGAAUAUUGGACAAUGGGCGAAAGCCUGAUGCAGCCCUGCCGCGUGUAUGAAGAAGGCCUUCGGAGUGGAAGAUACUUUCAGCGAGGAGGCGUUACUCGAAGAGGAAGCACCGGCUAACUCCGUGCCAGCAGCCGCGGUAAUUC